rnacentral:tRNA from 1 species
GGGGAUUUAGCUCAGUGGUAGAGCAUUUGCCUAGCGAGCGCAAGGCCCUGGGUUCGGUCCCCAGCUCCA